UAAAGAUUAAAAAAUAUAUAAUACAGAAUGAUUACCUUCUAUUAUGGUUUGGAUCUUAAAUGUCCCCCCAAAGGCCCAUCUAUUGAAGGCUUGGUCACCCAGCCUGUGGCAUACUGGGAGGUGGUGAAGCCUCUAGGAAGUGGGGCCUAGUAGAAGGAAGUUAGGUCACUAGGGCAUUCCCUUGAAGGGAAUAUUGGGACCCUGCAUCCUUCCUCUCUCUUUCCUUCCCAGCCACCAUGAGGUAGAAAGGUAUCCUCCACCAAGUGCUUCCAACAUGAAGUAAUGCCUUGCCACAGGCACAAAAGCAACAGAGCCAAAUAAGCACAAUCUGAAAUCUCUGAUACCAUGAGUCAAAAAAAUCUUUCCUCCUUUAAUGCUGAUUAUUUUCAGAUAUUUUGUCAUAGCAAUAGAAAUCUAACACCUACUUAUUCAAACACUGACAUGAGAGUUGAUGAAAAAGACACAUUCACUCAUUCCACUGACUAAAAUAAAUUUCAGAAGUUAAUUCUCUUAAAACUGAUUUUUGGAAUUACUGACCAAUACCAUUCUUCUCAAAAUUCUAAUUUUGAUAAAAUUUUAAAAACUCAUGAUAGAUUUAGAAAUCAGUGUCUUUCCUGAAGCUUUGAUAGUUGGCAUGUUAGUAAGAGAUUUCAUUUUUUUAAAAUUGAUAUUCUUAAAUUUCUCCAUGGUUUUUGACUCAGUAAAAAAAAUAGUUUAAAAAAAAAAUAUAUAUAUAAAUAAAUAUCUCCCCCCAAGGUAUCCCUCACAUUGUUGGGGCCAGUUUCAGUUAAAUGACAAUUAUCAAAAACACCUGGCCACUAAUUCCCACCUAUCUGGCCAAAUGUCUGGAACCUCACAAAAGAGAAAGAUUCUUCUGANAAUGG
rnacentral:lncRNA from 1 species